AUUGAACGCUGGCGGCAGGCUUAACACAUGCAAGUCGAACGAGUGGCGGACGGGUGAGUAAUGCUUGGGAAUAUAGCUUCUGGAGGGGGAUAACUACGGGAAACUGUAGCUAAUACCGCGUACCAUAGGAUGAGCCCAAGUGGGAUUAGGUAGUUGGUGAGGUAAAGGCUCACCAAGCCGACGAUCUCUAGCUGGUCUGAGAGGAUGACCAGCCACACUGGGACUGAGAUACGGCCCAGAAUCAUACGGGAGGCAGCAGUGGGGGAGAUGGCACAAUGGGCGAAAGCCUGAUGCAGCGACGCCGCGUGGGGGAUGAAGGCUUUCGGGGUGAAAACCUCUUGCGCUAUCGAACGGGUAGGUGGAGAAGAAGCGCCGGCUAACUACGUGCCAGCAGCCGCGGUAAUAC
rnacentral:rRNA from 1 species